GUCGAACGGCAGCAUGAUCUAGCUUGCUAGAUUGAUGGCGAGUGGCGAACGGGUGAGUAAUACAUCGGAACGUGCCCUGUAGUGGGGGAUAACUAGUCGAAAGAUUAGCUAAUACCGCAUACGACCUGAGGGUGAAAGUGGGGGACCGCAAGGCCUCAUGCUAUAGGAGCGGCCGAUGUCUGAUUAGCUAGUUGGUGAGGUAAAGGCUCACCAAGGCGACGAUCAGUAGCUGGUCUGAGAGGACGAUCAGCCACACUGGGACUGAGACACGGCCCAGACUCCUACGGGAGGCAGCAGUGGGGAAUUUUGGACAAUGGGCGAAAGCCUGAUCCAGCAAUGCCGCGUGUGUGAAGAAGGCCUUCGGGUUGUAAAGCACUUUUGUCCGGAAAGAAAUGGCUCUGGUUAAUACCUGGGGUCGAUGACGGUACCGGAAGAAUAAGGACCGGCUAACUACGUGCCAGCAGCCGCGGUAAUACGUAGGGUCCAAGCGUUAAUCGGAAUUACUGGGCGUAAAGCGUGCGCAGGCGGUUGUGCAAGACCGAUGUGAAAUCCCCGAGCUUAACUUGGGAAUUGCAUUGGUGACUGCACGGCUAGAGUGUGUCAGAGGGGGGUAGAAUUCCACGUGUAGCAGUGAAAUGCGUAGAGAUGUGGAGGAAUACCGAUGGCGAAGGCAGCCCCCUGGGAUAAACUGACGCUCAUGCACGAAAGCUGGGGAGCAACAGGAUUAGAUACCUGGUAGUCCAGCCCUAACGAUGUCACUAGUUGUUGGGGAUCAUUUCCUUAGUACGUAGCAACGCGUGAAGUUGACCCCUGGGAGUAGGGCGCAAGAUAAAACUCAAGGGAAUGACGGGAACCCCACAGCGGUGAAGAGGGGAUUAUUCCAUGCACCCGAAAACUUACCACCUUGACUGCCCUACGAACCAAAUCUUAUGU
rnacentral:rRNA from 1 species